CAGUCGCCGCGGGAAUACGGAGGGGGCUAGCGUUGUUCGGAAUUACUGGGCGUAAAGCGUGCGCAGGCGGCUAUGCAAGACAGAUGUGAAAUCCCCGGGCUCAACCUGGGAACUGCAUUUGUGGCUGCAUGGCUAGAGUACGGUAGAGGGGGAUGGAAUUCCGCGUGUAGCAGUGAAAUGCGUAGAUAUGCGGAGGAACACCGAUGGCGAAGGCAAUCCCCUGGACCUGUACUGACGCUCAUGCACGAAAGCGUGGGGAGAAAACAGGAUUAGAUACCCCAGUAGUCCCUGUCUCUUAUAC
rnacentral:rRNA from 1 species